rnacentral:rRNA from 1 species
AACGAACGCUGGCGGCGUGCCUAACACAUGCAAGUCGUGCGAGAAAGUUCCUUCGGGAGCGAGUAAAGCGGCGCACGGGUGAGUAACACGUAGGUAACCUGCCCCCCAGUCUGGAACAACUAGAGGAAACUCUAGCUAAUGCCGGAUGAGACCACGAUCCCUUCGGGGGUUGCGGCCAAAGAUGGCCUCUACUUGUAAGCUAUCGCUGAGGGAUGGGGCCUGCGGGCCAUUAGCUUGUUGGUGAGGUAACGGCUCACCAAGGCUGUGAUGGCUAGCUGGUCUGAGAGGAUGACCAGCCACACUGGGACUGAGACACGGCCCAGAC